GGGUGCAGGAUGGGUGCUGGGGAUACCAUCAGUAGGGUGCUGUGGGUGCUAUGGGUGCAGAUAGCUGCUGGGUUGGGUGCUUGCAGGACGGGUGCCAUGGGUUGGGUGUGGGUGCUGAGUGGGUGCUGUGGGUUCAGGGUGUGCGCUGGGUGGGUGCCAUUGGUUGGGUGUGGGUGCAGGGUGGGUGCUGUGGGUGCCAUGGGGCUCUCCACGACCAUUGGGGGUCUCUGUAGCCUUGGAUC